AACGAACGCUGGCGGCAGGCUUAACACAUGCAAGUCGAACGAGCUUAGGACCAGCUUGCUGGUUACGGCUAGUGGCAAACGGGUGAGUAACGCGUGGGAAUCUACCUGGUAGUACGGAAUAACUGUUGGAAACGAUAGCUAAUACCGUAUACGCCCUUCGGGGGAAAGAUUUAUUGCUAUCAGAUGAGCCCGCGUUAGAUUAGCUUGUUGGUGAGAUAAUGGCUCACCAAGGCUACGAUCUAUAGCUGGUCUGAGAGGAUGAUCAGCCACACUGGAACUGAGACACGGUCCAG
rnacentral:rRNA from 1 species